rnacentral:rRNA from 1 species
GGCUUCGACUUCAACCUGUGGAAGCGAGAUGUGCUUUGGCGCCAGUCGCCUCAUUUAUGCCAAAAAGCGUUUGUCUGAAUCAAAAAAACAAGAAUCAAAACUUUCAACAAAGGAUCUCUUGGCUCUUGCAUCGAUGAAGAACGCAGCGAAGCGCGAAAUGUAGUGUGAAUCGCAGAACAUUGUGAAUCAUCGAAUCUUUGAACGCACAUUGCGCCUCCCUUUGCGGGGAGGCAUGCCUGUCUGAGCGUCAUUUAACUCAUACCUUCUUGGUGUGUUGGGCCUCGCCCCAGCGGCGUAGCCUCAAAGUCAUUGGUCUAAAGGCGGACAAGAUCCAUUGGGACUAACCGUUUGGGACCAUAAACCUCUGACUUGGCCUCAGAUCAGGUAGGGCUACCGCCUGAACUUAAGCAUAUCA